GGUGGCCAGGUCUGGCGGGGCGUGUUGGAUGCGGGACCCCCGAGCCCUACUGCAGCCGCCACCAAGCAUGGCGAAGAGCAGUGUGAGCCUCUUCCCCACCGAGUAUGGCAGGCCACCGCUCAGAGGCUAUCCCAGGUUAGAGUUACUUGUUACUGGUAAAUAGCCACUAUGGAGGCUAAGGACCAGAAGAAACACAGAAAGAAAAACAGUGGGCCCAAAGCUGAAAAGAAAAAGAAGUGGCAUCUGCAGGAUCUCCAACUAGGAGACAAGGAAGAUGCCCGGAAGAGAAACCCCAAAGCUUUUGCAGUUCAGUCUACUGUGCAGAUGGCUUGAUCCUUUCACUGGACUCAGGAUUUAAAGACAAAGAAGCAUCAUAUUCCAGUGGUUGAUCGAACUCCACUAGAGCCCCCACCAAUGGUGGUGAUGGUGAUGGGGCCUCCAAAAGUUGGAAAGAGCACUUUGAUACAGUGCCUCAUCAGAAGUUCACCUGGCAGAAGUUGACUGAGAUCUAAGGCCCUGUGAUGGUCGUGUCAGGGUGGAAGAUUUGACAAACCGAGAGGAUAUACAAACAAACAUCAAAUGUGACCAGAAGGUGUCACUUUAUGGAUGAGGUGGGGUCCACUUAUGAGCUGGUCCAGAGUCUCAUCUCCACCCACUCCAUCAUUGAUACCAAGAUGGCUUCAAGUCGAGUGAUGCUGUUUUCUGAUUCCAAGCCACUUGGGUCAGAGGAUAUAGAUAAUCAAGGGCUGUUGAUGCCAAAGGAAGAAAAACAAAUGGACUUGAAAGUGAUUGAAUGCGUCAGAAAGCCAUUUUUGCAGAUGAAGAUGGAUGUGGAGAUAGUGAUGAUGAAGAUGAAAUUUCCGAAGAUGACAGAUUGGAAACCAUCUCUAGUGAUGAGGAAGCAGAAGAGGAGGAAAACGCUGAGGUGACUGAUCAGUAUAAGACUGCUAAGGGCAUCAAACGAGGGAAGCUUGAGGAGUUGGAAGAAGACAGUGAAGUAGAUUUGCCAGCAUUUGCUGACUGUGAUGAUGAGCUUGAGGGGAGCUCAGCAGAAGGGGAAGUGGAAUAAGCUGGGGAAAGCAGUGAGGAAGAGGACUGCACUGCAGGAGAGAGGGGCAUUUCAGGAUCAAAGACUGUCACCAGCUAAUCCCCAGAGUGACCCUGUAAAUCUGGAGAAGUCUUUGUUGAUGAAGAAAGCAGCCCUCACUUCUUCGUUUCUGGGCAUUGCCCAGCUGACAAGGCAUUUGCAUCUGAAGAUGAAUCUGAAGAAAGCUCUUUACUCAGUGCAGAGGAAGAGGACCUGGAAAAUGAGGACACUUUUAGGAAAAAGGUUUCAGAGCCUUCUCAAGUGGGUAGUGGUCAGAAACUGGGGUGAAGAAACUUAAUUGAUGAAACCAGUAAUAUAGAAGUUUUACUCAAAGAAGAAGAUUGCAAGGAAGAGAAGAAUGAUUCCACAGAAGCCUCAGGUGCCCUCAAGUGGAAGGAAGACCUUUCCAGAAAGGCACUGAGGCCUUUCUGAGGCAGCAACAAGCAGCUCCAAACCUCCAAAAGCUUAUUUAUGGGACAGUGACAGAAGAUAAUGAAGAAGAUGAUACCUGAGAAGAGCUUGGAGGGUUGUUUCGUGUCAGCCAGCCUGACAGCGUGGAAGCACAAGGCCGACUCUUUGGACUGCUUCAGAUUUCUUGUGGAGGUGCCCCAUGACUGGGAUUUAGAGGAGAUAUCAGAAGAGAGAAGUUGAAUAAAGGAAGAACAUAGAAAAGAUUGGUCAAAAAGUUAGAAGAACAUAGAAAAGAUGUCGUUGGAGACACAAACAUUUUAUUAAUUUUUGGAAAAUUUAGGGCCAAUUUGUUGUGUAAGAAAUUUGAAUUUGUGAUCAUACCUGUGACUGUUUUUUGAUAUUUUUCUGGUUCAGCUGAGUGGUGUCACUAAGCCAACACAAAGUGGGGCUCAUCCAGGGAUGAGAUUUUGCCAGAGAAAGGACGAGCAGCAAGUCAGGGAGCUUAAGGCAAUUAUUAGAAAGUGACUGUCUAAAAUUGCUUAGGUGGAAAGAGACAGAUUGGAUUUCUCUGUUUGGUAUUUGGGGGAAGAGGUGUGUGAGUAUGUACGUGAGAUGUGUUGUUCAUUCUCCUGAGAGCUAAAACGGGGGGAUUAAUGGACUGCAGUUCUGGACAAGGUGGAAAACUCUUAAAGUGGAAGUACUGGGGUAAGUGCUCUGACAGGCUGGGAUGGUGUAGUCAGUCCCUUUACCUGGAAAUCAGUAGAAUGUUAGCAGUCCAGACUCAAACUUUGUAAAAAUCAGGUGGAGAAAAGGAAGUCCCUCACAGUAACUGGCACCAUAAUCAAGACAGAAUGUUUCCAGAACAAAUGGAGUUAUCUGCUUUCAGCCCCAGGUGGUAGCUGUUCUCUGCCCUGAUGAUAUGUGAUAAUAAUUUCUGAUCCUCAUGUCUUAAAAUGGAGUCACUCAUCUCCAGUAGAAUUAAGCCUACAGUGAAGUUGUCCCCCCAUCCCCAAAGAGAUAAACACAUGUGAAUGGGCUGAGGUGAUAACAAUUAUUGCUGCCUGAGAUCAUGAGAGACCUGAAGUGAACUGAUAGGAAGCAGAAGGUGGCUGAGAACAAGAGAAUGGACCCAUCUGCAGAGGAUCAUAAAACCAACAGAGACAAGAUCUUGUCUAAGAUGUUUUCAGAAGCUUUGUCCAUGAGAACUGUAAGGACUUCUCCAGACCUGGUGGCUGCUGCUAUGAUCUCUGCCCCAAAGGAGCAUCUGACCAUCAUCCAAAGGGCUUCUGGACCCACUGGAUUCUUCUGGAGGUACAUUGGUCUCUUGAGCCAUCACUGUGGUUUUUUACUUCCUUUAUUCCUGCCUGUGUGUAGAAUGAUAAUUGCCUAAUUGAUAGUGUGAAUGAAUACCUCUUGACAAAUGUAACUCUGA